UAGAUAAAUGAAGUUCUAACAGCACUUUCAUUUUUGCAUUUCUAAUUUAUAGCUGCUUUUAACAAAAAUUGCAAAAAUGGAAAACAAAUUUUCAUGAACAAUAGUAUAAACGUAACGACCGGAACACAAAUGGCAGAAUACGCUUGUUAUAUAAAAGUUCAGUUUACUCUUAAUGUUUGAUCGAGAAUUAUGUCCUGCUGCAGAAGAACCGAGAAAUUUGAACAAUUUCCUUGCGACGGUUGUUGUGUGAACAACUGUGAUACUGAAGAUAGAAGAUGUGUGAUAUCAAAUCCCCAAACUCAUUACUGCUUUUGUCAAAUUUGCGGAGGAUGCUAUGCUUACGAUGAUGGCAACAAUUGUCACUCCAAUGUUAAUACUACCAUCAAGACAUACACAAACCCAUGUCAAUGUGCCAAAGAAAUAAUGUGGAAUAGCUGUGUACCACCUAAACCAGACUGCAGAUGGUUUUCAAACUUUUCUGAAUUACGCAGACAGUGGAGUAAUCAUGCUCGCCAACAAAAUUGUAAAUGUUGUAAGUGUAGGCAAAGGUAAGAAAAAGUAAGAUCUUACGUUUGCAGAGGUCAAACGGACUUCAUCUGUGAGGAAGUACUUUUGCACCAAAGAAAAUCGACUUUAAUUCGUGUAAAAUUUAGAUCUGUUCCAUUUACAUUAGGUAAAGCAACUCAGGCCGGAGAAUUCUUAAUUGAAUAAUUAUAUAAAAAAAAAAAAAUAAGAAAAAAAAUUGCAUUUCUAUCAAGCUCGUGACAAUGAAUAACAACAUGAAAAUUAUUUAUUGGAACAAUAUAAAAAAUGUCAUUGAGGUAUGCUUAUAGUUUAUCUGUCUUCCAACUUGCAGUGACAAAUUUUUGAUACAUUAAAAAUAAAAAAAUAUGCUACGUGGGGAAA